UACGGGAGGCAGCAGUAAGGGAUAUUGGUCAAUGGGGGAACCCCUGAACCAGCAACGCCGCGUGAGGGAAGACGGUUUUCGGAUUGUAAACCUCUGUCCUCUGUGAAGAUGAUGACGGUAGCAGAGGAGGAAGCUCCGGCUAACUACGUGCCAGCAGCCGCGGUAAUACGUAGGGAGCGAGCGUUGUCCGGAUUUACUGGGUGUAAAGGGUGCGUAGGCGGCUGUGCAAGUCAGUAGUGAAAUCCAUGGGCUUAACCCAUGAACUGCUAUUGAAACUGCACAGCUUGAGUGAAGUAGAGGUAGGCGGAAUUCCCGGUGUAGCGGUGAAAUGCGUAGAGAUCGGGAGGAACACCAGUGGCGAAGGCGGCCUACUGGGCUUUAACUGACGCUGAGGCACGAAGGCGUGGGUAGCAAACAGGAUUAGAUACCCUGGUAGUCCACGCUGUAAACGAUGAUUACUAGGUGUGGGGGGACUGAACCCUUCC
rnacentral:rRNA from 1 species